GUCCAGUCGGGAGUUUCAGUCCUGUGCUGCAAACGUGUGACGACGGCUCCCGUCGUAACGAGGAGUCACUCUUCAAAAACAGCUCUGCAAUGAAAAUACAGGUGUCAGGAGACACACACAUGUGAACUGAAUCGUCUUGACACAGAUCAGCGCCCCCUGGUGGCCCAGAGUACUCACUGCAGCACACACUCGGGGAUCUGCACGUGCUCCAUGGGGAUGAGCUGGCUCAGCUCCUCCAGCGUGUGAACGUAGCGGAUCUUAUCCAUGAACUUCACACUGCGGAGAACGAGCAGCGACAGGCAGUGAGUGGCAGAACGUGCUCCUGGAGGAGCCCCUGCUCCUGGUUCGGCCCUUUCCCCUGUUUUUCAUGGAUGCUCACCUGAUGAAAGGCCGGGAGAUGGCGAGAACAGUCCGGAUAAACCACGUUGGGUGAGCGAUAAUGAGACACUUCAGGUUCUUCCUAAGCCUGCGUGAGACAUUCAGAUACUGUAGUACAGAAUAUAUUUAUAUCAGUAUAAAUGUGCCUUUCGUUCUGAUUCAUUGGCCCGUCUUACUUCCUGUCAAUCAUCUGGUAGCAUCUCUUCAGCCAGCCGAUGCCGGGCAUCUUCCUGCGAGGAGUGGCUCCAUUCAGGUAAAUGAUCAUGUAGUCCUCUGCCACCAGCAGCUCCAGGCUGCUCACAACGUAGCUGAAGACGGAGCCGAGCAAGUUCAGAUCAAAGCAACACAGCAACACAGGACUGAAGCACCUUAUUCUCCGUCCAUAGAAAAUCUAUGCCCAUUUACCAGUAUAAAAAGUCAAGCUAAGUUUGCAUGGAUGGAAUCAGGGUGCUCACAGGAAAAGGUUCUCCAUGAUGUAGGUGUAGUCCUCACAGCUGCUGUCAGGAAGGUAGCAGGCUGCGAACACGAUGAUGGCGUUCAGGCCCUCGCCGUAAUAACCUGAGAGACGACCACAUCAUCGAUCACAUCAUUCUGUGUGGACGUGCUGCGUGAGACGUUCCCACCGCUCACCUCCGUGCGUCACCACCCGGAGGAACGGCCGGAUGACCUGCAUGUCGAUGCGCUGCUCCUGGUCGCCGAUGACCACCGUCCUCCACAGGCGGCCGCUCGAGUCCCUCUCCUCCUCGCCGUCGCCCGGGAGACGCUUGGCGCUGGCGACGGGCGUGUCAUCUGUCGCACGGGGACAAACGCUGACGCCCGCUGCCCGUUUUCACCCGACGCGGCGCGGGUUUGUGUGUGUCUGACCUUCCCACUCCAGUUCGUUGCCGUUGUUGAUGAACUCCAGCGAGUCCGUCUCGUCGGGCGUUUCCAUGUCGUCCACGUUGAUGUCCAGGUCGUCGGACAGCACGGAGCCCUCGCUCUGGUCCAGGGACAGGUUCAUGUCGGGGGCGACCAGGGUGCGGCGCUUGUUCUGGCUCAGGGCCUCGCCCACGUUGAGGCUGCUGGGCGGAUCUGGAAGGACGCAGACAGACGCUCAGACAGAAUCUUCAGCCAGAACCAGGAUUGAAGCCUGGGCUGAUCUCACUCACUGUUCCUGUUAUCAGUAAAACCAUCCUCUGGCAGAGGCCUGCAAGAAAUACACAUAUGGAAUUAUAGCAACACAACAGCACAAUGAUGAAUGAUGAAUAUUGUGAAACAUCCCAGAAUCUGUAGUUCAUAAACUGUGGAGGUUUUAAUAGUUGCUGCUGCAGCAGCACACAAGCACUCAGACACAUUAAACUGUACAAGUGUGGGCAAGUUGAUGGCGCCUGUGGAUAAUCACUGUUAUUAUGCCGCCAGCAGCUUAACAGGUGAGAGGGAAUGAGCGUAAAUGCUUUUACACAGGCUGCAGGUUCCAGUGGGUAAUAAUAAAGCGUAACACUCAGACCAAAUCUCUUAUUACUCUGUAAUAACGUGGCUCCAUUUUUUUUUACGUAGCUUUCCUUUAAAAUGCUGCUCAAUAAAAAAAUCCUGUGCUGUGAAAACACAUUGUGUUGAAUAAAAUGUUUCCUGGGCCCAUUAUUCACAAAGAAGCUCUUCUUACAUUUGAGAACUGACACGACGUGUCAACCUCUUCACGUAACACACACACACACACACACACACACACACACACACACACACACACACACACACACACACACACACACACACACACACACACACACA